CCGACACAGGAAAGAAAUGUUGCUCAAAUUAAUUAUAACCUUUUCGAUUUUAUUAUUGGCAAACUAAUUCGCAUGUUAUGACAAUAUUGUGAAAGUUUUAUUAAGAGAAUUUUCUUAUAAAAUGAUAUUUAUUGAUUUAUUCUUUGUGAUGAAAGUGGCGGAGUUUGAAAAUACUUUUGCUGAUUGCAUCUCAGUAUAAAAUCAUUAAACGCGAGAAAAAAAAUUCGAGCUCGAAAGACUCAAAUCUAACAGAAUUUAGCAACUCAUAAUUAAGAGGAAAAAUGUUUUUUUAUUGAGACAGGUUAAAUUAAUUCGCAAAGUCAGCAGCAUUUCGAAGUAUCAAAUAUCGAAGAUUCCAUAACAUUAUAUUGUUGGUCUUAACUCAAAUCUACGAUUUGAAUGACCCCCCAAAAAAAGUCUAGGGGAUCAUGUCUAGGAAACAAUAUAGGUCCUCGACAUACUAUCCACCUUCUGGGAAAUGUGGCGUCGAGAUAUUGACGGACAUUGAAUUCAAUUGAGUGGCCACCAUGCUCCUCAAACUUGACUCCCUCAGACUUUUUUAGUGGAGUAAUUCAAAAUCGCAGGUUUAUAUUGAUCAAAUAAUUCAGGAAAGUUACGGCAAAGGUUUCGCGCUGAAGUGGAGAGCCCAAUUUGAACAUUUACGCUGCUUAAUUUCGAUUGUCGAAGUUUAAUUUUUGAAUAUCACAGUGAAUGUGUUAAUUUCUCAAAGCAAUUUUUAUCUACGUUGUGACAGUAAUUUGGCGGAUGCGAGUUUCGAAAAAUAAAUUACAUUAUUUCAAAGAUUCCUGCGUAGGCUUCCCACAAUACAUGUUUUCUUUUUUUUUUUGCGAAGUAGUUUGAUGCGCCAUGUGCUCGAAAAUUUGGUUCAUGCUCUCUCAUUCUUAUGGUAGAACGAUUGCGUUUAGCACAGCGAAACAAAAAUUGAAAUUUUUCAAUCAGAUAUCAGAUGCUGGAUUAUAGUUUCAAAUUGUGUUUAUUGCUAUUUUCACUUUUCUUUAUGGUUUUGGUAUUUUGGGAAGAAAUUGUGAAAUUUCCGUCUAAACGGGAUCAAAUAGCAUCGUUCAACAAAGUUUCUUAAAAGCCACAUAACAUCCAAGGCUUCUUCUCUUCCGUUACAAUAUUGUUGAAGUCAGCACAGAAUACAGGCUUUUUAUCAACCACUCCCACUCUUGGAACAACCUUUUCCUGAGCUAAGGGAAUCAUCCCUUAUUGGAGUCAACUGGGACUGCGAGAAUCUGGAUGAGUAAAACUGAACUAUUAAUUUUCACCAAUAUAUGACUUAUAUGAAACAUCCUACUUUACUGAGACAUUUUUGUUUAUUUUCCAAUGUAUAUGAAUGCCGGCAAUCAUACAGUUUAAACCCUUCAGGGAUCGAAUUAAGAAUCAAUUGAACACGUAACAACGUUACCAAUUUAUUUACUCACUCCAUGGUUCUACAACUCGGGAUGGAUCUUGGCCGACUGUAUCUAUUCGCCUUCACUUUUGCCGAUCUUCCAUCAGUGCUGGGUGUUAUUCUAACCCCAUUCGCCUGUGAAUGGAAAUGGGUAAAAUGAGUAGCUAAAAGAAGGAGGGUUGAGCGAGUGGUUAACAACACUUCCUCCUAGAGAAAUCAUUGUUACGAAAAACGAACAACGGUUUCUAUUUUUCUCUGGAAAACUGAAUUACGUCAUAAGUAAAAUUUUAUUUCAUAAGUUGCUUAAUUAUAAAUUAAAAUUGACGUGUCCGUGCUUUUUUGCUUGUGCCAGGAGAAAAUAAUUUCUCUAUGGUUCAUCAACUCUGUGAUUAUGUUGUCCUACCUAUAUCAAGUGCUUUAGAUUUUUCUUUUCCUUUUAUGUAUUCUCUGAAUAAACUCUUAAGUCAAAU